rnacentral:rRNA from 1 species
AUUCUGGUUGAUCCUGCCAGAGGACAUUGCUAUUGGGAUUCGAUUUAGCCAUGCUAGUCGCACGAGUUUAGACUCGUGGCAGAUAGCUCAGUAACACGUGGCCAAGCUACCCUUCAGACCAGAAUAACCUCGGGAAACUGAGGCUAAGACUGGAUACGGUAUGCACGCUGGAAUGCAGGAUAUUCCAAACGCUCCGGCGCUGAAGGAUACGGCUGCGGCCGAUUAGGUAGACGGUAGGGUAACGGCCCACCGUGCCAGUAAUCGGUACGGGUCAUGAGAGUGAGAGCCCGGAGACGGAAUCUGAGACAAGAUUCCGGGCCCUACGGGGCGCAGCAGGCGCGAAACCUUUACACUGCACGCAAGUGCGAUAGGGGAAUCCCAAGUUGAGAGGCAUAUAGCCCUCGCUUUUGUCGACUGUAAGGAGGUCAACGAAUAAGAGCUGGGCAAGACCGGUGCCAGCGGCGGCGGUAAUACCGGCAGCUCGAGUGAUGUCGUAUUUUAUUGGGCCUAAAGCGUCGGUAGCUGGCCAGCGAAGUUCGUCGGGAAAUCCACUUGCCCAACAGGUGGGCGUCCGGCGAAAACUGUCCGGCUUGGAACCGGAAGGCUCAGAGGGUACGUCUGGGGUAGGAGUGAAAUCCUGUAAUCCCGGACGGACGACCGAUGGCGAAAGCAGUCUGAGAGGACGGAUCCGACAGUGAGGGACGAAAGCUAGGGUCUCGAACCGGAUUAGAUACCCGGGUAGUCCUAGCUGUAAAGGAUGCUCGUUAGAUGUGGCACCCACUACGAGUGGGUGCUGUGUCGUAGGGAAGAAGCUAAACGAGCCGCCUGGGAAGUACGUCCGCAAGGAUGAAACUUAAAGGAAUUGGCGGGGGAGCACUACAACCGGAGGAGCAUGCGGUUUAAUUGGAUUCAAC